GCAGAAGUACGUCCUUAAUUUGUUCCUCACAAUCCUCUUGUGUAGGAGGGAGGAAGGUAGGAUUAUUCCCAUUCGUAGACUAACUGUUUCAUCAACUGAACAGCUGCACCAUUCAGGGAACCAGAUGAGGCUCCAGGGAGUUAAUGGUAACAGAGUAACUCUGGCCCUCACAGAGUCUAAUGGAAAAGGCAGAUGUCCGGACCUGUCUCGAAUGCUGGCUGUGGAAUUCUGUAAAGAGGCGCAUGCCAUCUGGUUUGCUAACCGACCCACCAAGCACCGUGUCUAUUAGAAGAAUGGACAGAUGUGAAUGUACAGAACUCAUGAAAUAUUGUCAUCAGCCACACAACUGAAGAGGCAAUCUCCCCUAUGCUUGGGAGGCUGCCCCGGAGCCACAUGGACAUGGGAUCGCCGUGUUCUCUUUCAGAUCUUAAACCUCAUGUGGAAAACAGCAAGAUCUUGUUCUGUGGAGACGCAGAAAUAAGUUUUCAGAUUGUGCCACCUUCUGGUAGAAUCUGGAAAACAACUUGACAGGUUUCUUCCUUUUAGCUCACCGUCACCCCAGGAAAGUGGAGCAGGAGAUGUCUUUCUUCCCAGAAUUUGACCCUAGCUUCUGUGGAGAAAGCAGCUCAAAUUGCAUUUAAAUAAAACCAGAACCCUGUCCCAUUUCACGAAGCAGCAUGCGUCCCUGCUAAAGGGCAAGUGCUGGUUUAGAUCAGAUAUAGGCUCAACCUCUAGCUGCCAACGUCACUAGGCACUUAAGUCAUUUUCUUUUUAAUUUUCUGAAUCACUCAAAACUACUUCUGUGACGUGGAGGCACCUACUUUAAACCCCCCAAACGACGACUAACUGCCCUUUUCUCAUCUGUCAAAACUGGGUACUUAAAAAUUCCAAAUGUGCACCUAAGAGAAAAAGUUCCUCCUUAAAAUUCCUUAAUUGUAUGCUCUGCCAUUUAUAUGUAGUU